rnacentral:rRNA from 1 species
UACGUAGGGUGCAAGCGUUGUCCGGAAUUAUUGGGCGUAAAGAGCUCGUAGGCGGUUUGUCGCGUCUGCUGUGAAAACCCGAGGCUCAACCUCGGGCCUGCAGUGGGUACGGGCAGACUAGAGUGCGGUAGGGGAGAUUGGAAUUCCUGGUGUAGCGGUGGAAUGCGCAGAUAUCAGGAGGAACACCAAUGGCGAAGGCAGAUCUCUGGGCCGUAACUGACGCUGGAGGAGCGAAAGCUGGGGAGCGAACAGG